AGAGACGUGUGAAGCAAAAACAUAUAUGCUUUUGUGAAUGGAGGUGAGCUGAGAGGUUUAAGAUCUUUGGCCAAAGAGUUAAGAUCUUUGUCGGCAAAAGAUGAGAAAUUCACCGAGUACCAAAAGGUUUUAAUGGACGAAAACAUGAAAAGUAAGUAAUUGGACAGUUCUCCAUGGCAGUUCCCUCUACUAUACCAAGGAGUGCAGAAUGUUCUAUUCAGCUGGCGUAGAAUAAUCGGUUGGAUAGAACAUGGUGGAAGAGCUGCUGAUUAUCUUCUUUUUCUGCAUGAAAGCGCUACAACCAUGUGCCUUCCAUCCGGAUGGGAAACUGCUGGGAAGGACAUUGUAGGAGCAACAAUGUACACAUGCACAGUUUGGGUAGAAAUAGGUCUUAAUGUGUGGUUCAAAAUCGUCAUAGAUCUCCAAGAUGUAAUAUGUUUCUGUCUUUUCUUAUAUACUGUGGUUUAGCUACCUUAGAACUACUUGUAAUUUCUUUGUAGCAUGUGUGAAACUGUAAAUUUCUAGAACAAGAAUAAGAGUUGCACUAAUGAAGUAUUGUGAAUUGGGAUU